GCAAUUAAUGUAACUUGUUGGCAAUUGUUUUACAAAGUUUCAUUUGCUAUCCAUAAAAAAUAUAUAUAAUAUUAAAAAAAAUGUUAGUAUUCUUACAAAUUAUGAUUAUACCUAUAAAUAUCAACACUUAUUUUACCUUUUAAAGAUAGCUUAUACCGUCUCCAAGAAGGUGUGAACUCUUAUUUAUGAAUAGUGAGGUCUAUGAUUCAGAUUUCACCGCUCCCCCUAAAUCAUUAAAAAAAAAAAAGCUUAUAUUUCUUUAAAAUUCCAAUAAUAAUUAUCUAUGUUUUCCAUAUAUAUUUAAUGUUUUAAUCCAAACUUCCACCUGCAUAGCACAUACCAUCCUACAGUUAUAAACAUGAGGUGAAACGAUAUGGUGUCCUUUCGAUCCUCAAAACAGCAAUCGAAGGGGAUAGGCCUUUUGACGCAAUAAACUGACAUCCAAAACACUUUUGUUUAUUUUAUCAUAAUUAAUUGUAAAUAUUAUAGGAUGUUUGUUUUAUAAAAUAUUAAUAGUUUAAUACUCCAUCUCCUGAUUCAAAAAAAACCAAAAAAAAAAAAAAAACAGUUUAAUACUUCAUCCGUCUCAUUAUUUAUGGCACAUACCUUUUCGACACGGAGAUUAAAGAAAGUAAGAUUGUAGUGUAAAAGUGUGUAAUAGUCUGUGGGUCCAUGUGAUUUGUAGUGUAAAAUUAUUACCAAAAAUAAAGAUGAGUCAUUUAACUUAGAAGACCCCAAAAUGGAAUGUGUGUCAUUAACGCUCUGGCUCCUUACAAGGCGAGAGUUACAG
rnacentral:lncRNA from 1 species